GGGGAAGCCGGUGCAAACCCGGCGCUGACCCGCAGCCGUGAAGCCGCCAGGCCAAGCCGGAAUGCCC
rnacentral:ncRNA from 2 species